CGUGCGGUCGUGACAGGUGACGGCGAACUGGCCCUCCGCGGCGUUCCAGGCCACCAGGAAACGCAGUUGGUGUCGCUCGGGUUCCCGGAAGAGAUCCUCGCGCAGCGGCACCCAGCCUUCUAGGCUGUCGGGCUGCUCGCAAGCCAUGGCCGCCGCGGACCCCCAGACCCCGCCGGGCCGCGACAUUUUUCGCGAGCCGCUACUGCUGUCCGCGGCGCAACUGUUCCCGCCCCCUUCUCUCUGAUUGGCUGUCUGAGGGAGGACGCCUCGGGUUGGUUAAAUGAGAGCCAAUGAAAAGUCUUUGGGGGAAGAUGGGGCCCGGGUUUCCCUUUUACCCCCUGGUUAACCUUGCACUCACUAAAUUAACCAAGCUGGCCUUGAACUUUUAGGUCCGCCUGCCUGAGGCUUUGGAGUGCGUGAAUUGAGGGAGUACCCCGUCGUGCUUGGCAGAGAUUUUACUUUUAAUCACGUGUGUGUAUGGACAGGACGACGUUGCUCCUGAGUACUGGUACCAGAAGACGGCGUCAGAUCCCCUAGCUCAGGAUAAGUUUAUGCAGCUGUGAGCCCCCUAAGGAACUGGGACUCGAACUGCUGGUGCUCUCUAUAAGCAUUUUAUCUCGACAGCAAGGAAACUGAGACCUAGAAAGGGAGCUUAUCUACAAUACAUCUCCACUAGGGCUAAGCAAGACCUCUUCACUACUGAAAACCUGCCUUCUGGGGUAUUGGAACAAGCCUGACUAAAGUGCUUUGGAUAAAAAUCAUUUCUUCACAUGGGCCUACAAGGCCCCUAAAGAUGCCUUGUCUUAAACCUGUCACCUUAGAAUCCAAGAACAACAGACAGACCCAUAGACACCUUUAUUAUAUAAGCAACAGCCAGAAGAGGGCACCAGACCUCAUUACAGAUGGUUGGGAGCCACUAUGUGGUUACUGGGAAUUGAACUCAGGACCUUUGGAAGAGCAGGCAAUGCUCUUAACCACUGAGCCAUCUCUCCAGCCCCAGUUUUAUUAUUUUUGCUGAGGAAGCUUCACCACCCUUCACAAGUAAUUUACUCCACUUGAUAACACAAUCUGUUGGGAAGGACCUGGAGAUAAGAGUUAACCUGGCCGCCACACCUUGAUCAAGACUGCUGCCUGAUUACACGCUUUUUUUUCCCAAGGGGAGGGGUCCUUGUCCAUCUGAACUCUAUACAGAGCCUUGAUGCUGGAUGCCAAGUUUUGACCUUCCUUCAGAUUCACCACCUCCUUAUUUUCGCCACAUCAUCAGCAGAAGCCUUCAUAAUCAUAGGAGCCAAUUCCUCAAAAUGAAUUUCUCAAUUAUAUAAACAUCCUGUAGGUUUGUUUCCUCUAAAGAACCUAGAUGUUAAUACAGUGUGUGUGUGUGUGUGUGUGUGUGUGUGUGUGUGUGUGUGUGUGCCUGGAAUGGAAUGAUAUUUUACAUUUUUCCAUUUAAUAUGUACUUAAAUAUACCACGGGCACAUCCACAUUAAAGAAAUGCAGGCAUGAAGCUAAGGGUGUGACCUGGUGGUAAAGAUGUGCUUAACAUGGACCCUGGGUCCCCAAACAGAAGGCACCUAUGUCAUUGUUUAAUACCUGCAAAUAUUGAGUUGGCUGUAUCACAAUUACCUAAUGAAUCAUAUAUUGAUUAAAAAUAGAUUAAUUUCCA